CCGGGCUCGCUUACCGAGAGAGAAGCGCCAACUUCUGCUCCAGCAACAUCUCCAGUUUCUGGCCCUGUUUAGAGAUCCAGUGGUCGACGCCGUGCAGGCGGUAGCAUGUCUCCAGCAUCAACCUGAAGUCCGCCACAAACUCCGUGAUGCCCCUGUACUGGCCGCUGGAGAACUUCUCCUCCAUCUUCAACAGACACAUUCCCUGGCCCGGCUGCUGCGGGGGGACCCGACUGCCCCGGCCCCCGCUGCGCCGCCCUUCGGCCACCUCUUCUUCCCCGGCGGCAACGCCCCCCAAGGGCUGCAGGAAAGGGGCGGUGAGGCCGCGGUGCUUCUCCUGCAGGAACUCGCCCAGGAUGCGGUAGCCCUGCUGCAGCUCGUAGGUCAGCUCCUGCUCCUUGCAGCCACCGCCCGCGACCACCGUCGUCUCCGCCGCCGCCUCUUCCUCCUCGUCGUCCACCGAGGAGGCACUCCUCCUGCGGACCAGCCCCGAGGCCCGGGCCGCUGCUGCCACCACCUCCUCCUCGUUCCCUUCUCCGGUCGGCGGUGGCGGCCG
rnacentral:lncRNA from 1 species